GCAUAUCAAUAAGCGGAGGAAAAGAAAAUAACAAUGAUUUCCCUAGUAACGGCGAGUGAAGAGGAAAGAGCUCAAAGUUGGAACCUGUUUGGCUUAGCUAAACCGGAUUGUAAACUGUAGAAACAUUUUCCAGAUACACUAGACAAAAAAGUCCUUUGGAACAGGGCAUCAUAGAGGGUGAGAAUCCCGUCUUUGGUCUAAGUAGUUGUCUAUUGUGAUAUGUUUUCAAAGAGUCAGGUUGUUUGGGAAUGCAGCCUAAAUUGGGUGGUAAAUCUCACCUAAAGCUAAAUAUUUGCGAGAGACCGAUAGCGAACAAGUACCGUGAGGGAAAGAUGAAAAGAACUUUGAAAAGAGAGUUAAACAGUAUGUGAAAUUGUUAAAAGGGAACCGUUUGGAGCCAGACUGGCUUGAUUGUAAUCAACCUAGAAUUCGUUUUGGGUGCACUUGCAGUCUAUGCCUGCCAACGACAGUUUGAUUUGGAGGAAAAAAUUAAUAGGAAUGUGGCCUCUCGAGGUGUUAUAGCCUAUUAUCAUACUCUGGAUUGGACUGAGGAACGCAGUGAAUGCCUUUAGGCAAGAUUGCUGGGCGCUUUCGCUAAUAAAUGUUAGAAUUUCUGCUUCGGGUGGUGCUAAUGUUUAAAGGAGGAACUCGUUUAGUAUAUUUUUUAUUCGCUUAGGUUGUUGGCUUAAUGACUCUAAAUGACCCGUCUUGAAACACGGACC
rnacentral:rRNA from 1 species